AGUGAACGCUGGCGGUAGGCCUAACACAUGCAAGUCGAACGGCAGCACAGUAAGAGCUUGCUCUUACGGGUGGCGAGUGGCGGACGGGUGAGGAAUACAUCGGAAUCUACUUUUUCGUGGGGGAUAACGUAGGGAAACUUACGCUAAUACCGCAUCCGACCUACGGGUGAAAGCAGGGGAUCUUCGGACCUUGCGCGAUUGAAUGAGCCGAUGUCGGAUUAGCUAGUUGGCGGGGUAAAGGCCCACCAAGGCGACGAUCCGUAGCUGGUCUGAGAGGAUGAUCAGCCACACUGGAACUGAGACACGGUCCAGACUCCUACGGGAGGCAGCAGUGGGGAAUAUUGGACAAUGGGCGCAAGCCUGAUCCAGCCAGACCGCGUGGGUGAAGAAGGCCUUCGGGUUGUAAAGCCCUUUUGUUGGGAAAGAAAAGCAGCAGGUUAAUACCCCGCUGUUCUGACGGUACCCAAAGAAUAAGCACCGGCUAACUUCGUG
rnacentral:rRNA from 1 species